ensembl:rRNA 5S_rRNA 5S ribosomal RNA
GCUUACGACGGCCAUACCACCCUGAACACGCCCGAUCUCAGAAGCUAAGCAGGGUCGGGCCUGGUUAGUACUUGGAUGGGAGACCGCCUGGGAAUACCAGGUGCUGUAAGCU